rnacentral:piRNA from 1 species
GUAGAAUAAACAGACACACAAGG